UAGAGUUUGAUCAUGGCUCAGGAUGAACGCUAGCGGCAGGCCUAACACAUGCAAGUCGAGGGGUAACAGAGAAGCUUGCUUCUGCUGACGACCGGCGCACGGGUGCGUAACGCGUAUGCAACCUACCUCAUACUGGAGAAUAGCCCUUGGAAACGAGGAUUAAUACUCCAUAGUAUCAUUCUUUCGCAUGUUAGAAUGAUUAAAGAAUUUCGGUAUGAGAUGGGCAUGCGUCCCAUUAGCUAGUUGGUGAGGUAACGGCUCACCAAGGCGACGAUGGGUAGGGGGCCUGAGAGGGUGGUCCCCCACACUGGUACUGAGACACGGACCAGACUCCUACGGGAGGCAGCAGUGAGGAAUAUUGGUCAAUGGAGGCAACUCUGAACCAGCCAUGCCGCGUGAAGGAUGACGGCCCUAUGGGUUGUAAACUUCUUUUAUAUGGGAAGAAACUUAUCUACGUGUAGAUAACUGACGGUACCAUACGAAUAAGGAUCGGCUAACUCCGUGCCAGCAGCCGCGGUAAUACGGAGGAUCCAAGCGUUAUCCGGAUUCAUUGGGUUUAAAGGGUCCGUAGGCGGAUUUUUAAGUCAGUGGUGAAAGCCGGCAGCUU
rnacentral:rRNA from 1 species